rnacentral:rRNA from 1 species
UAGCCGUAAACGAUACUCGCUAGGUGUCGGCCACGGUGCGACCGUUGUCGGUGCCGUAGGGAAGCCGUGAAGCGAGCCACCUGGGAAGUACGGCCGCAAGGCUGAAACUUAAAGGAAUUGGCGGGGGAGCACCACAACGGGUGGAGCUUGCGGUUUAAUUGGAUUCAACGCCGGACAUCUCACCGAGGGGCGACAGCAGAAUGAUGGCCAGGUUGAUGACCUUGCUUGACAAGCUGAGAGGAGGUGCAUGGCGUAGUCGUGU